UACGUAGGGGGCUAGCGUUGUCCGGAAUCAUUGGGCGUAAAGCGCGUGUAGGCGGUCCGGUAAGUCCGCUGUGAAAGUCGGGGGCUCAACCCUCGGAUGCCGGUGGAUACUGUCGGGCUUGAGUACGGAAGAGGCGAGUGGAAUUCCUGGUGUAGCGGUGAAAUGCGCAGAUAUCAGGAGGAACACCAAUUGCGAAGGCAGCUCGCUGGGACGUUACUGACGCUGAGACGCGAAAGCGUGGGGAGCAAACAG
rnacentral:rRNA from 1 species